UGAGUACGGGAUGCUACGGCAUCGAAGCAGUCUAUGUCAUACUUCCAAGAAAAGCUUGCACUGUCAUAAACAAAGAAUGCCUGUACCAUAACCGACACAGGUGGGUAGGUAGAGUAUACUAAGGGGCGCGAGAUAACUCUCUCUAAGGAACUCGGCAAAAUGACUCCGUAACUUCGGGAGAAGGAGUGCCUUAUUUCUAAGGUUGCAAUAACAAGAUCCAAGCAACUGUUUACCAAAAACACAGGUCUCCGCUAAGUCGUAAGACGAUGUAUGGGGGCUGACGCCUGCCCAGUGCCAGAAGGUUAAAGAAGUUGGUUAGCAUUAGCGAAGCUGAUAACUGAAGCCCUGGUGAACGGCGGCCGUAACAAUAACGGUUCUAAGGUAGCGAAAUUCCUUGUCGGGUAAGUUCCGACCCGCACGAAAGGCGUAAUGAUUUGGAUACUGUCUCGGAGAGGGGCUCGGUGAAAUAGACUUGUCUGUGGAGAUGCGGACUACCUGCACCUGGACAGAAAGACCCUAUGAAGCUUUACUGUAACUUGAGAUUGAAAUUGGACUUUAUUUGCGCAGUAUAGGUGGGAGGCGUUGAGAAUAAUCUUGCGGGAUUGUUGGAGCCAUCAGUGAGAUACCACUCUUGUAAUGUUAGAUUUCUAACUUUGUAUCAUUAUCUGGUCAAAGAACAGUUUCAGGCGGGCAGUUUGACUGGGGCGGUCGCCUCCCAAAGGGUAACGGAGGCGCACAAAGAUUUCCUCUGAACGGGUAGAAAUCGUAUCUAGAGUGUAAAGGCAUAAGGAAGCUUGACUGUGAGACCUACAAGUCGAGCAGGGACGAAAGUCGGUCUUAGUGAUCUGACGGUGCUGAGUGGAAAGGCCGUCACUCAACGGAUAAAAGUUACUCUAGGAUAACAGGCUGAUCUCCCCCAAGAGUUCACAUCGACGGGGAGGUUUGGCACCUCGAUGUCGGCUCAUCGCAUCCUGGGGCGGUAGUCCGUCCCAAGGGUUGGGCUGUUCGCCCAUGAAAGCGGUACGCGAGCUGGGUUCAGAACGUCGUGAGACAGUUCGGUCCAUAUCCGGUGUAGGCGUUAGAAUAUUGAGAGGAGCCUUCUCUAGUACGAGAGGACCGAGAAGGACAUACCUCUGGUGUACCAGUUAUCGUGCCAACGGUAAACGCUGGGUAGCUAUGUAUGGAGUGGAUAACCGCUGAAAGCAUCUAAGUGGGAAGCCCACCUCAAGAUAAG
rnacentral:rRNA from 1 species